CCCAGCUGUUGUUAUGAUGCAACAGCGCUCUUUUGAACCAUGGACACAGUUGGAGAAGGAAUGGGGGCCAAUACAGGCUCGUUAGUGGGUUGUUUUGUGUUGUGCGAGUGUGUUUGUGUGCAUACAAAAUAAAACAGCCUACAAAUAGACAGGACUCACUUGGCGGCUAUGAAACCUGAAAGAAAGAGAAAAGGAGUGAGAUGUCAUCAAACUUCAAACCUCCUGACUGCAUGCUGGAAACUGGGGCAGCACCAAGAGAUCACAGGGCUGCUUUGCUGUGUUUCUGGCUCUGGAGCUGUGGAGUCUGGAUCUGUGUUUCCUGGUUUCCCGCUGUCCCCAUGUUCCUGCUCAACACCCGUUGCUACAGUUAUUAUCAUUAGUCCUAGUAUUUCUGUGUGGAUAUUAUGUUGGCUGCUUAUCCCUCACCAUCUCUCCACCAAUUGAAUUGAAUUGUUUGCCUAUUCAGGAAGCUUUAUUGAAAGAAGCGUACAGGGAAAUAUACUUUUGGUCUCCUAUAGAACAUUCCAAUAUUUUCUAUACACAGAUGGAGUCCUUUGAAUUAUAUUAAAACAUGUGUCCUGUU